rnacentral:rRNA from 1 species
UACGGAGGGUGCAAGCGUUAUCCGGAUUUACUGGGUUUAAGGGGUGCGUAGGUGGGUCUGUAAGUCAGUGGUGAAAUCUCCGAGCUUAACUCGGAAACUGCCAUUGAUACUAUAGGUCUUGUAUUAUCUGGAGGUAAGCGGAAUAUGUCAUGUAGCGGUGAAAUGCUUAGAUAUAACAUAGAACACCCAUUGCGAAGGCAGCUUACUACGGAUUGAUUGACACUGAGGCACGAAAGCGUGGGGAUCAAACAGG